GUCCCCAUAGCCCAAUUGGUAGAGGCAAGCGGCUUAAACCCGCUCCAGUACCGGUUCGAACCCGGUUGGGGAUA
rnacentral:tRNA from 1 species